rnacentral:lncRNA from 1 species
AAUUCCAUUGUCUUUGCUCCUUGUUUGCCUUCUUUGUGGUUUGUUGUGGUAGGAGAUCAUGAUGGGACCUGGCGGACCAGGCGGACCAGGCGGACCUCCUGGCGGACCAGGCGGACCUGGUGGCCCUGGUCCUGGCUGGCUUCCUCUGCCUGGGGGUCCUCCAGGUUGGGGUCCGGGCCCUGGAGGCCCUGGAGGCCCUGGACCGGGAGGACCUUUCUGGGGACCUGGCCCUGGACCUGGGGGAGGCUUCUGGGGACCUGGAGGAGGCUUCUGGGGACCUGGAGGAGGCUUUGGUGGUUUCUUAGGCUCAUGGUGAGUUGUGCUAUAACCUUAGGUAGUAUACUUUGAUGUAGGACUUGUUGAUGCAAGGUCAUUCAGGGAAGUAAUCGCUUUGCGUUCUUUAUGUUUCUUUAGUCUUUGUCAUUCUCCUCUUAACAUUUCUGCUGCAUUUUAGAAACAUUAAGGCAUCUCUUUUCGAAAAAAAAAUACUUGCCUCGCAACUUUCCAUGUCAAGAAUGGUUUAUGUGAUUGUCAUUUAAGAAAUGACUCAGCCAGUGGUGUAGAUCUAUUUCAUAUCAUAAUGUUAUUUUUAUGGACUCUCGUUUCUGAAAUCUCUCUGCUGCUAAUUUGUUUUGUUACUUUUGUCUUUUUGGCAGCUUUUACUUCCUUUGCUGUUGUUGCCUGCUGCAAGAGUGCUGUGGGCCGUUCUUUGGUGGGCCUCCAGGCCCCCCCGGGCCCCCCGGGGGCCCUGGACCACCUGGACCGCCCUUUUGAUUUAAGCAGUCGACAAGAUGGAAGGGGGAUCACAUACAAACAAUAAUUAGAUGGAGAACAAUGAUUUGCUUAGAGCUAUGUUGUGUUCUUUUUCCUUUUUGGGUCGCUGCCUU